GUGCUUGCUUCAGCAGCACACAUGCUAAAAUUGGAACAGUACAGAGAAGAUCAGCAUGGUCCCUGUGCAAAGAUGACUGGAAAUUUGUGAGCAUUUCAUAUUAAAA
ensembl:snRNA U6 U6 spliceosomal RNA